rnacentral:lncRNA from 1 species
CCUUCUCUCUCUCCCCCUCCCUCUCUCUGUGAUGAGUGAUGAGUGAGAACAUUCAUCUUCUCUUUCCAUGUCCAUGCAUACAUGUCUGUCGGCUUUAUUUUCUGCGCUGCGUACGCUUGCACACCGCUCUAGCCUCCAUGUGAUGGAGUUGUUCACUACGGUGCAAAUGAUCCGGUAAGGCAGCCAAAAGAUCCGGAAUCUUUCUGUAGAGCAGGGUUCUGCAGCUGCAGCUGUAUGCAGCGAGCAUUAAAAAACUGGGAGAAAAUUCCUUAUAUAUCAUCCAAAAUUAUAGUCAUCCUUUAUAUGCCGU